GCUUAACACAUGCAAGUCGAGGGGCAGCAUUUUAGUUUGCUUGCAAACUGAAGAUGGCGACCGGCGCACGGGUGAGUAACACGUAUCCAACCUGCCGAUAACUCCGGGAUAGCCUUUCGAAAGAAAGAUUAAUACCGGAUAGCAUACGAAUAUCGCAUGAUAUUUUUAUUAAAGAAUUUCGGUUAUCGAUGGGGAUGCGUUCCAUUAGUUUGUUGGCGGGGUAACGGCCCACCAAGACUACGAUGGAUAGGGGUUCUGAGAGGAAGGUCCCCCACAUUGGAACUGAGACACGGUCCAAACUCCUACGGGAGGCAGCAGUGAGGAAUAUUGGUCAAUGGGCGCGAGCCUGAACCAGCCAAGUAGCGUGAAGGAUGAAGGCUCUAUGGGUCGUAAACUUCUUUUAUAUGGGAAUAAAGUUUUCCACGUGUGGAAUUUUGUAUGUACCAUAUGAAUAAGGAUCGGCUAACUCCGUGCCAGCAGCCGCGGUAAUACGGAGGAUCCGAGCGUUAUCCGGAUUUAUUGGGUUUAAAGGGAGCGUAGGUGGAUUGUUAAGUCAGUUGUGAAAGUUUGCGGCUCAACCGUAAAAUUGCAGUUGAAACUGGCAGUCUUGAGUACAGUAGAGGUGGGCGGAAUUCGUGGUGUAGCGGUGAAAUGCUUAGAUAUCACGAAGAACUCCGAUUGCGAAGGCAGCUCACUAGACUGUCACUGACACUGAUGCUCGAAAGUGUGGGUAUCAAACAGGAUUAGAUACCCUGGUAGUCCACACAGUAAACGAUGAAUACUCGCUGUUUGCGAUAUACAGUAAGCGGCCAAGCGAAAGCAUUAAGUAUUCCACCUGGGGAGUACGCCGGCAACGGUGAAACUCAAAGGAAUUGACGGGGGCCCGCACAAGCGGAGGAACAUGUGGUUUAAUUCGAUGAUACGCGAGGAACCUUACCCGGGCUUAAAUUGCAACAGAAUAUAUUGGAAACAGUAUAGCCGUAAGGCUGUUGUGAAGGUGCUGCAUGGUUGUCGUCAGCUCGUGCCGUGAGGUGUCGGCUUAAGUGCCAUAACGAGCGCAACCCUUAUCUUUAGUUACUAACAGGUCAUGCUGAGGACUCUAGAGAGACUGCCGUCGUAAGAUGUGAGGAAGGUGGGGAUGACGUCAAAUCAGCACGGCCCUUACGUCCGGGGCUACACACGUGUUACAAUGGGGGGUACAGAAGGCGGCUACCUGGUGACAGGAUGCUAAUCCCAAAAACCUCUCUCAGUUCGGAUCGAAGUCUGCAACCCGACUUCGUGAAGCUGGAUUCGCUAGUAAUCGCGCAUCAGCCAUGGCGCGGUGAAUACGUUCCCGGGUCUUGUACACACCGCCCGUCAAGCCAUGAAAGCCGGGGGUACCUGAAGUACGUAACCGCAAGGAGCGUCCUAGGGUAAAACUGGUAAUUGGGGCUAAGUC
rnacentral:rRNA from 1 species